rnacentral:rRNA from 1 species
CCUACGGGAGGCAGCAGUGAGGAAUAUUGGUCAAUGGACGAGAGUCUGAACCAGCCAAGUAGCGUGAAGGAUGACUGCCCUAUGGGUUGUAAACUUCUUUUAUAUGGGAAUAAAGCAGGUUAUGCAUACCCUCUUGUAUGUACCAUAUGAAUAAGGAUCGGCUAACCCCAGGCCAGCAGCCGCGGUAAUACGGAGGAGCCGAGCGUUACCCGGAUUUAGUGGGUGUAAAGGGAGCGUAGGUGGAUUGUUAAGUCAGUUGUGAAAGUCUGCGGCUCAACCGUAAAAUUGCAGUUGAAACUGGCAGUCUGGAGUACAGUAGAGGUGGGCGGAAUUCGUGGUGUAGCGGUGAAAUGCUUAGAUAUCACGAAGAACUCCGAUUGCGAAGGCAGCUAACUGGACUGCAACUGACACUGAUGCUCGAAAGUGUGGGUAUCAAACAGGAUUAGAUACCCUUGUAGUC